rnacentral:misc_RNA from 1 species
ACUCUUGCUCUUCAAGGAUGGGUUGUAAGUGAGUUAUUUGAUGCCAUUCUGUCUAUGACCCCCCACCUUUGCAUCGUAAAGGAAUCUGUCUGGGGUAAGCAAGCUUGUAUUUCCUUGAAUAUGUCCUGGGUGGCUGCUGUUCACUUUCCCCUUUGUAGAUAUGUUAACUGUUGGAAAGCAGCAUGCAGUGUUUGUUGCCCAGACAUCCAGAAUUGAUGCCCAUAUGUUCACUGCAUCAACAAUUUUAUACUGUUGGACCCAAAACCAUCCUUCCUUUUCCAACCUUUCUGAGAAUGGAGGAUGGGUUAGUGAACUUGUUUAAACAGAAGCCCUUUGUAUGUGCUUUGAUGUUAAUUUAUCUACCUUUUCCCCCCUUUUCCCCUGUUUCUUUUAAUCACUUAUAUACAGUAGCAACUGGACAUCAUGUAGGAUGAUUCAAAUGACAGGUGAAAUCUGAUCUAGAGUUUAAUUGUAUCUGGAAAAAUUUGGAGGUUAGUGCCUGUCAACUUAAUAUGGGGCAUUAUGGUUCUUUGUAUUGAAUUUUGAUGAUUCAUGAUCCAUGUCAAUUCUUACUGUUUUGCAAGAUAUAUUCUCAAAACUGCAGGUACAUUUGUAUGGGGGUGUUGAAGUCUGUUGGGCGAGUAAUAAGAACGGAUAUGAUGAGGUUGGUUUGGUGGGUUCUUAUUGCUUUUGCCAUCAGGAUUAUUUUUGAGACCCCAAUGCAAUCCCAAGUUCCUCAAAUCCUUGAGAAUUUUGAAGCUUGCU